GGAUCGAUGAUGAGUCCUCCAAAAAAAACAUUCCUUGGAAAAGCUGAACAAAAUGAGUGAAAACUCAUACCGUCAUUCUCAUCGGAACUGAGGUCCAGCACAUUGCUUCCUCUGGGGCCUUUACUAGUGAGGGACAACUUCCACUAGUCCCUAUAGGUUCUAACACCCAUGGCGUUCACAGGUGAAGGUCUCCUGUCAUAUUACAAACAUUCCCCCCACUCCCCUCCCAAAAAAAGGAACAUUUCCUCUGUGUCAGGUACACAGGUCAGAGAGUCAUAGGGUGACUGGCUGCUCUGUGAUGGCAUAGUGGCCGUGGAAGUGGAUGGAAAUGUCGCAGGCUUAGGGGAGUGUGGGGCUGGCCUCGGCUUGGUGAGCUCCCAGGAAGGGGGACCUGGAAAUCGCUGCGGGCAUCCUUGCAUAGAGGACCAGCAGUUGUCAUGAGAGGUCUGCCGCUUGCUGGCAAGGAAGAUGGUCAAUUCUUCUGACCAACAGAGGCUGCCUUGAGUCCUGAUUUGGUGUGGCCUGGCAUCUAUGGUGCACCCAAUGCUGGGGCAGUUGCCGUGGGAGGCCUGCCGUCUGCUGAAAGGAAGAUGGUUGAUGCUUCUGAGCAAUGAAGGCCCCAUGGAGUCCUGGAUUCGGUGUGGCCUUGCAUCCGUGGUGCACCCCGUGCUGGUGGAUGGCUCAGGACGGGGCAGUUGCCAUGGGAGGCGCAGGCCUGCUGGAAGGAAGAUGGUCGAUUCUCCCAAGCAACAAAGGCCACGUAGAGUCCUGGUUUCAGUGUGGCCUGGUAUCCACAGUGCACCCCGUGCUGGUGGGUGGCUCAGGACGCACACUCAUUUCCUCUGCACCUUCCUGGUGUCAUUGGCAUGGAAGGAAGGCCCUUGUCCAAGAAGGAUGGUCUUCGUCUUGUGUGAUCUUUGAGAUGCCAUGAGGCCCCUGGAUACAAAUGGUGUGGGCUCCUUUGGAGGCUUUUGGAUUUCUCCUGAAUGUGGCGUUGGUAUGGAAGGAAGGCCAGUGACCGCAAGGGAUGACUUUGAUCUUGGGAGAUUUUUGGAGAUGGCAAAGUGCUUCUAAACAUGUUUGGCAUGGUCUCCUUCAGGCUGGUGGAUACCUCAGGAUGGUGGCGUUGGCAUGGAAGGAAGGACUGUGUCUGUGAGGGAUGAUCAUCCUCUCAUGUGAUCCUUGGAGAUGCCAGGAAGCCCCUUGACACAUGUGGCAUGGGCUCCUUCAGAGGCUUUUGGAUCCGUCGUGAAUGUGGCAUGGGCAUGCAAAGAAAGACAGAGGCUGCAAGGGAUAAACUUCAUCUUGGGAGAUCCCUGGAGAUGGCAGGGAACCCAUGGACACAUGUGGCAUGGGCUCCUUUGGGUGCCGGUGGAUCCCUUCAUACGAAACAAAGAUUGUGUGUGGAUCGAUGAUGACUUCCAUAUAUACAUUCCUUGGAAAGCUGAACAAAAUGAGUGAAAACUCUAUACCGUCAUUCUCGUCGAACUGAGGUAGUGUUGGUGUAAAAGGCAAACCCGUGUCAUGAGGGAUGGUCAUCAUCUUGUGUGAUCCUUGGAGAUGGCAGGAAGCCCUGGACAUACAUGGUGUGGGGGCUCCUCCAGAGGCUGUUGGGAUCCUCCUGGAUGUGGUGUGGGCAUGGAAGGAAGGCCAGUGGAGACAAUGGAUGAUCUUGUUCUUAGCAGAUCACUGGAUGUGGCAGGGAGUCCUAGGACAUGUGUGGUGUGGGCUUCUUCAGGUGCUGGUGGUGUUGGCAUGAGGAAAGGAGGUAUCUUCGAGGGACAAUCUUCUUCUUGUGCGAUCCUUGGAGAUGCCAUGAGGCCCCUGGACACAUGUGGUGUGGGCUCCUUUGGAGGCUGUUGUAUCCCUUCUGAAUGUGGCGUGGGCAUAGAAGGAAGGCCAGUGGCCACGAGGGACAAUCUUGGUCUUGGGAGAUCCUGGAAAUGAUAGGGAGUCCCUUGAUAUGUGUGGCAUGGGCUCCUUCAGGUGCUAGUGGAUUCCUUAGGAUGGUGGUGUUGGCAUGAAAGGCAGGCUUGUAUCAUGAGGAAUGAUUGUCAUCUUGUCUGAUUCUUGGAGAUGGCAGGAAGCCCCUGGAAACACAUGGUGUGGACUCUUUCACAGGCUGUUGAAACCCUCCUGAAUGUGAGGCCAGAGACAGGCAGACAGCAGAUGUAUUGCAGGGAGCUGGAUGACAUGGCCCUUGGAACCUGUGCACAUGCCUGCCUUUCUGAUGCACGUCCAUGUUUUCUCUGCACCUCCCCGGUGGUGUUGGUAUAAAAAGCAGGCUUACAUCAGCAAGGGAUGAUUGUCGUCUCAUGCGAUCCUGGGAGAUGGCAGAAGUCCCGGGACACAUGGAGUGUGGGCUCUUUCGGAGGCUGUUGGAUCCCUCCUGAAUGUGUUGUGGCCAUGGAAGUAAGGCCAGUGGCUACGAGGGACAGUCUUCAUCUUGGGAGAUCCCUAGAGAGGGCAGGGAGCCCCUUGACAUGUGGAAUGUGAUCUCUGUUGGGUGCUGGUGGAUCCCACAGGUGGUCUGGCAUGGAAGAAGGCCAGAGGCUGCGAUGGAUCAUCUUUGUCUUGGGAGAUUCCUGGAGAUGGUGGGGAGCCCCUGGGCACGUGCAGCAUAUGUGGCGUGGGCUUCUUCAGGUGCUGGUGGAUCCCUCAGGAUGCUUUUCAAGGUUUUUCUAUGAGUUCUGUUAAAGAGUCUGAAAAUGGAGCGUAGAAGACAUGCUUCGAUUUCCAGGAUGGUUGUGUUUUCCAGAGAGGCGGAGGUAAACCACUGGCGCAGCCCUGCCUCCCACAGAUAAUUCCGGGUGCAGUGUUUCAUAUCUAGACUUGGACUUCUAUCCUACCAUACUUCUUUGUGUGCAGUUCAUUGUGGAACCAGCACAGAUUUUCAUACGAAAGUUAUUUCUUUUUAACCUCAAAAAGUGACAGAAUGGAGUGUAUCAUGAAAAAGUCUGACAUCAAAACCUCAAAAUGUGAUAUUGAUUGGGUGAGAUAGAAUUCCAUGGAAUUUCAUUGCCAAACCAGUGAAGUGCUAAUUUUGACAUUUGUACCAGCUAACGUAGCUGUGAAGAAACACACCAAUACACUUCUAAGGACAGCAUAGACCAAGAUCUAGGUUUCAUAUGGAUGAAUUUAUUCUUCCCUUUGAGGCAAGACAAGAAGGAAAGAAAGUAUUGGGAAUAAUGCUGCCCUCCCAUCCUCAAGGGCCAGUGGGAACUCUAAUAUUGAUUGGUUUUCACAGAAUUCCAUGGACUUUAACUGCUGAACCAAUGAUGCACUGAUUUUGUCACUUGUACCAGCUAACGCAUCUGGGAGGCAACAAAACAAUACUCUCCUGAGGUUAAUGUGGACCAAAAACUAGAUUUCAUAUAAAAGAGUUUAUUCCUUCUACUUGAGGUGUGACAUGAAGGAAAGUAAUGGAAAUAAUUCUGCCCUCCCAUUCUCAAGGGCCAGGGGGAAUUCAAAUAUUGAACGGAAGUGAUUUUGGAAUUGCAUGGAAUUCUCACUGCCAUCCCAAAGAAAUGCUGAUCUUGUCACUCUUACCUGUUUCAUUCCCUGGGGGCAGAACAAAAGGACGCACUCCAAAGAUCGGCAUGAACCAAGAACUGGGUUUCAUAUAAAAUAUUUUAUUCUGUCCUCUUGAGAUGUGACAUGAGAAAAGUAUUGAGAAUACUUCUAUCACCUCAUCUUCAAGAAUCCGUAGGAAUUCUCCCAUGGUGGACUUUACGGUUAACCUGAACAGGUCUUGGAAAAAGGACUUUAAACAUUCUCCUGUUCUGUGGAAUAAGUAUACUUUUUUCUGGACAUACACCUUGUCAGUGAGUUCCAUGUGAUACUAGAGUUGCAUAGAUUUUUAACCUUUACGCCAAUGAAGAUCUGAGGCAAACAUUGCCCCUUUUUUAGAAGUUUGCAUUUGUCACUGAUAACUGUAAUAAUUGAUCUUGUUGAAAAGCCUGGGAAAUGAAGAUCUGAUAUGUCACUUUUACCGGCUUCCUCAACUGAAAAAGAAUACAAUGAAACACGCUGAGAAUUUUUGUGCUUUCUCAGUCUUGCUGAUGAUCUUUCUAUGGGCCUGAAGCGUGGAGAGUGCCAGAGAGGCUGAUCCUCAGCAGUGUGGCAGAGGAAAGUUGGGUGCGACUAAGGGGUAUGCGGUGCCCACAUGCCACUGGGUCCUCAGCAGUACCACCUGAUUGGAAGUGAUAUUGGUGGAAGACAACAUUUUGCCGCUUGGAAUUCUCACCUCCACACCAAAGAAGUACUGUUUUUGUCAUUUGCACCAGCUUCUUUCUCCAGGAAAGAUCAAAACGAUGCACUGCAAGUGUGAUUGGUCCAGAUAGCUGCCUUAUCCAACUGCCUCCUUUGGACCACUUCAUCAUGGGACAGCUUGAUGCAAUCUACUUGACAAGACCCUGGAACCCCACACCCCUCAUGGAACCAGUGUCCACCUCCCAGUCACAGUGUGACCCCAGGGAACUCUUGCCUGCUUGCUUUAAACCCACCACUUAAAAGUCUCCACAGAAAACCUGUUUGAAUAGUACCCUUGACCCAAUAAGGGCAUUGGCCCCUGGGUGUCUCUCUCUCUCUCUCUCUCUCUCUCUCCCUCUCUCUCCCUCUCUCUCUCUCGCUCCCUGACCUCUGCGUGUGGACUCCAGGCAUGCCAUAUACCCCUCAGGACCUGAAGCAAAAGAAUGAAUUAAAGAAAACUCCAGAGAAUGAGCUGACAACCUACUCCCUGGUCAGUGGCUCUCCAUGCCUACCUGUGGUCUCUUGGACACCCUUGCAGAAGAUGACUUCCUGGGAACUCUUCUGGGAGUGAAUGUUAUCAGCAAAUUCCCAAAACAACACCCCUUAGACAAAAAGCCUCCUCACCUAUGCAUUGCCUAGACCACCCACUAAAGGUGAUGGCCACAAAGAGGUGGAUUUGUUGAGUUGGUGCCAUUCCUUCUACUGCCAGCUUCACCAAAACAAUGACACAGUCUUCCUUCCGCAUGGAGACUCUUCUCUUUCCUGUGUUGCAGUGGAUGCCUCCUGCAGAUAAGAAAUGCUUAACUGAGAAAUGCUCAUGUUGGGAUAUCAUCGAUGAGACUUUAAUUUGGGCAUGGUGACUGUUUCCCUUGCUGCCACUUGACUCAAUCCCAGGAGCCUCAGUAGAGGAUAUAAUAUUACACAAGAUGCUCAAAAUGGUGGAAUUGCUCAGUGCUCCCAUAAAUAUACAUUUAUAAUUUUCAUUUGCCACAUGGUAAACUGAAAAAUACAGACUAUAUUAAAAAGAAACUGCAUGAUUUUUUUUCAAAAAUUCAAAGCAUAUUUAAAUAAUAUAUAAAUUAAAUGCCCUCCUCUCUUCCAAUUCUGUCCCUAUAGUUUUCCUCUAUUAAGUGAACUACAUGCAUUCUUUUAGUGGAUAGAUGCACACAAACACACAAGCCAUUAUGGGGAAGGAUCCACGUGUGUGGCCAUAUUGUAACACAUUUUUCUGCAAAUCACCUCUUUCAUUUAACAGCCCUUAUUCAAUGGCCUUUUUCUUUUUCAGUAGUACAUACACAUCUGUGUCAUUUGUUGAAUGACGACAUGAAUGUUUUGUAGAUAAAAUAUAAUUAAAUGUUUUAAGCAUUUCUCACUCAUAGAUAUUUAUGUUAGCACCAAAUUUCUGUGCAAUGAACCUCCCUAUAUAUCAGUAAUUUUGCAUUUGUCUAUAAUAUCAUAAUAAAUUACUUAUCAGUUGAAUUACUGGGAUUAAGUAUGUGCACACUUUAUAUUUAUAUUUUGAAAAUUAUUGCAAGAUUGCCUUCAAAAAUGUGGUUAACAACUUUAUCUUCAAAUGGCAAUGAAUGAGAUUGCCAGCUUUCCUACAGCCUCACAGACAAUGGAUUUUAUAAAUAUUUAACAUUUUUGCCAAUGUGAUCACCCAAACUAUUGUCUUAAAUUGUAUCUCUUUUGUUUUUGAGUUUGGUCAUUUUUUCAUGUUUAUUAGCCAUCUGUAUUUUUUAAUUUCUUCUUUAUGUCCAAUUUUGUGGGUGGGAGGAGGAUUUAGUCUCUUCCUGAUUUCGAAGAGCUCAUUUACUAUUUCGGGAAAUAAGAUUUGGAUUGUCAACCAUUAUAGCUAUUUUUUACACACUUUUCAACUUUGUUUUUGUUAUAAGAAUGUGUAUGAUUGUUACAUGUCCAAGUAUAACCAUGUUCGCUUUUAUGGCUUCUGAGUUUCAUGUCAUUUUUGGAAAGAUAUAUAUAUUGAGUCCAUAAAACCCUUCACCUAUGUUAAAUUCUAAUUCUUUUGUGUUUUUUUAAUUCAAAUUCUUAAAUCAUGAGAAAUUUUUUUGUUUUGAAAUCUUAAAGUUGCCAAGUUACUUGCCAUUACUUGCGAUUAUUUGCCAAUAAUUGCCCAUUUAUCUGUACCGCCAUCUUGCGCAUAUGCUGUACUCUCAUCUGUGACUGGCUCCAUUUUUGUUCUGUGGAUUUGUGUGUCUCUUCUUCUGCCUCCUGUCUCGUGUCUGCUCGUUGGAAGAAAUUACAGUUUAGACUGCAAUUUCAUCAACUUUAAUAAAUCAAUUGAGGGGAGAAUUGGUUUUUAAAAAUAUUAAGUAAGUCUUCGUAUCCAAGGACAAGGUAUGUCUUUUCUUAUUCAAUAAUUUUAAUUACUGUUAAUAUUUUCACUGUGGUGAUGGGAGUUUUUCUUUUAAUUUAUUUUCUUGUUCAUUUUUUGUAUCUAAAGUUUUUGUUUUGUUUUGUUUUGGGGGUAAGUUGUCACCUUACUGUUUCUUGUUGCUUUUCAGAUUUUUUCAAAGUAUAGACUAAAUCCUUCACAAAUAUUUAAAGUUUUUAUUUUCCCCCUUCAUAUUGAUCCUGAUUUUAGUUAUGUUGACAAAGUCCACAGACUGUUACUAUCAGAACACUUGAACAGUUAUGGAAAUAUUACCUACCCUUGAUUUAAUCAGAGUUUAAUGGUAUGCUUCUUUGGUUUGACUGGCACAUUGUCGCUGGUCAUUUCCUCCCAAAGACCACCAGAAAGAGCUAUGAUCAAGCAAAGCUGAGUUUGUUAAACUUACCUGCAGCAAGGGAAAACACCACCUUGAUAGGGUUUAAUAAUGUUUCAAAAUCAAGAAAUGAGGCUUUGGGGUCUGGGCAGGGAACUAAUUAGAAAUGGGCAAAAUUUGUCAUGCAAUACCUUGUGGGAAAGUGAGAUGAGGUUCUUAAUGUGAGUAUUGAUGGUGAAAUCAUUUUCUAGGUGAGCUGUUUGCCUAUAUAAAGAUGUUAUCAAUGACAGAAGAACUAUUUGCCUAGAUAAACAAACUGAAUUUAUUUAUUGGUUUACAGUUUUAUCUUGCUGGGCAGGACUCUGCUGGGGGUGGUAUCAGGUCUUAUUCCCAAUAGGUAAGUUAUUUGGAUAUGGGUGGUCUUAAUCAUCAAUGUGUAAAAUGCUGAUUUUAAGUGCGAAAUACUUUGUCUACCAUGUUAGGAAAGUCUGCCACCUUUUAUCUUUUUUAAGGAAUUUUAAUCAAAACCAGGUGGUAGAUAUAAUCAAAUUGUUUUGCAGAAUCAAUUUUCCUGUUCUCUUUAAAGACUUUUAUCACUGUGAAUUAAUUUACUAUUAUUGCAACUUCCUUUAAUUCCUUGAAUGAACAGACCCUACUGGUUUUAAAAAUGUUUUAUUCUUUUAAUUUACUACUUAAUUGUGGGUAUUUUAAUUUGAUUUGGAAUUUUUACAAGUAUACAACUAAGUGAAAUUGAUCUGUGAUUUUUCUUUUUUGUGCUAUUUUUGUCAUGUUUUGAUAUCAGAUAUUCUGGUUGUGUUAAAAUAAUUUUGAGGAUUUUCUUCUUAUACUGUGUUCUAGAGUGGGUAAAAAAGCCCUAGUCUCACUAUCAGUGUUUAAGUGAACACAUCAGUGACAUCAUCUGGACUCUCCUUUGUUUUUGCUGGUUUGGAGUUAGGACAUCUAGAAGUUUUUUUCUUUUUUUCCUUUUUUUGUAUGGUUAUUGCUUGUUCUUUGUUUUGUGUCAAAUUUAACCUGUUUUCUCUUAGCAAAUCACAGCUCAUGCAGAUUUUCAAACACAUUAGCCUUGUUAUACAAAGUGUUCUUUCAUCAUUCUAUUAAAUUUCCAUUUUCAUUCCAGUUAUAGUUAUUUCUGCUGUGCCUUUGUUAAUGAAUAAGUUUAAACAGUGGAUGUUUAGCAUCACUAGCCUUCCCCUUCCAUCUCCCUUAAUCAGGACCUUGGUAUAAUUUAUCAGGUAUUUUUUAAGGUUCUAAUUUACUUAUAUAUAUUGUUUCUGUAUUCUUUUGUUUCUUUUCUUAAUAAAUUCUUAAA
rnacentral:lncRNA from 1 species